rnacentral:rRNA from 1 species
AUUAAACAUAAGAGUUUGAUCCUGGCUCAGAUUGAACGCUGGCGGCAUGCUUUACACAUGCAAGUCGAACGGCAGCACGAAAGAGCUUGCUCUUUUGGUGGCGAGUGGCGAACGGGUGAGUAAUGCAUCGGAACGUACCGAGUAAUGGGGGAUAACUAUCCGAAAGGAUAGCUAAUACCGCAUACGCUUUGAGAAGGAAAGUGGGGGCUCUUCGGACCUCACGUUAUUCGAGCGGCCGAUGUCUGAUUAGCUAGUUGGUGGGGUAAAGGCCUACCAAGGCGACGAUCAGUAGCGGGUCUGAGAGGAUGAUCCGCCACACUGGGACUGAGACACGGCCCAGACUCCUACGGGAGGCAGCAGUGGGGAAUUUUGGACAAUGGGCGCAAGCCUGAUCCAGCCAUGCCGCGUGUCUGAAGAAGGCCUUCGGGUUGUAAAGGACUUUUGUUAGGGAAGAAAAGGAUAGUGUUAAUACCAUUAUCUGCUGACGGUACCUAAAGAAUAAGCACCGGCUAACUACGUGCCAGCAGCCGCGGUAAUACGUAGGGUGCGAGCGUUAAUCGGAAUUACUGGGCGUAAAGCGAGCGCAGACGGUUUAUUAAGCAAGAUGUGAAAUCCCCGAGCUUAACUUGGGAACUGCGUUUUGAACUGGUAAGCUAGAGUAUGUCAGAGGGGGGUAGAAUUCCACGUGUAGCAGUGAAAUGCGUAGAGAUGUGGAGGAAUACCGAUGGCGAAGGCAGCCCCCUGGGAUAAUACUGACGUUCAUGCUCGAAAGCGUGGGUAGCAAACAGGAUUAGAUACCCUGGUAGUCCACGCCCUAAACGAUGUCAAUUAGCUGUUGGGCAACAUGAUUGCUUAGUAGCGUAGCUAACGCGUGAAAUUGACCGCCUGGGGAGUACGGUCGCAAGAUUAAAACUCAAAGGAAUUGACGGGGACCCGCACAAGCGGUGGAUGAUGUGGAUUAAUUCGAUGCAACGCGAAGAACCUUACCUGGUCUUGACAUGUACGGAAUCUUCCAGAGACGGAAGAGUGCCUUCGGGAGCCGUAACACAGGUGCUGCAUGGCUGUCGUCAGCUCGUGUCGUGAGAUGUUGGGUUAAGUCCCGCAACGAGCGCAACCCUUGUCAUUAGUUGCCACCAUUCAGUUGGGCACUCUAAUGAGACUGCCGGUGACAAACCGGAGGAAGGUGGGGAUGACGUCAAGUCCUCAUGGCCCUUAUGACCAGGGCUUCACACGUCAUACAAUGGUCGGUACAGAGGGUAGCCAAGCCGCGAGGUGGAGCCAAUCUCAGAAAACCGAUCGUAGUCCGGAUUGCACUCUGCAACUCGAGUGCAUGAAGUCGGAAUCGCUAGUAAUCGCAGGUCAGCAUACUGCGGUGAAUACGUUCCCGGGUCUUGUACACACCGCCCGUCACACCAUGGGAGUGGGGGAUACCAGAAGUAGGUAGGCUAACCGCAAGGAGGCCGCUUACCACGGUAUGUUUCAUGACUGGGGUGAAGUCGUAACAAGGUAGCCGUAGGGGAACCUGCGGCUGGAUCACCUCCUUUCU